rnacentral:rRNA from 1 species
AUUGAACGCUGGCGGUAGGCUUAACACAUGCAAGUCGAGCGCGAAAUCUCUUCGGAGUGAGUGGAGCGGCGGACGGGUGAGUAACGCGUAGGAAUCUACCCAGUGGUGGGGGACAACCUGGUGAAAACCAGGCUAAUACCGCAUACGCCCUAAGGGGGAAAGCGGGGGCUCUCUUCGGAGACCUCGUGCCAUUGGAUGAGCCUGCGUCGGAUUAGCUAGUUGGUGGGGUAAAGGCCCACCAAGGCGACGAUCCGUAGCUGGUCUGAGAGGACGAUCAGCCACACUGGGACUGAGACACGGCCCAGACUCCUACGGGAGGCAGCAGUGGGGAAUAUUGCGCAAUGGGCGAAAGCCUGACGCAGCCAUACCGCGUGUGUGAAGAAGGCUCUAGGGUUGUAAAGCACUUUCAGUAGGGAGAAAACGCUGAUGAUUAAUAGUCNUUAGAAUUGAUGUUACCUACAGAAGAAGCACCGGCUAACUCCGUGCC